UACGUAGGGUGCGAGCGUUGUCCGGAAUUAUUGGGCGUAAAGAGCUCGUAGGCGGUUCAGUAAGUCAGGUGUGAAAUCUUUGGGCUUAACCCAAAGCGUGCACUUGAUACUGCUGUGACUUGAGUUCGGUAGGGGAGUGGGGAAUUCCUAGUGUAGCGGUGAAAUGCGCAGAUAUUAGGAGGAACACCGGUGGCGAAGGCGCCACUCUGGGCCGGUACUGACGCUGAGGUGCGAAAGCGUGGGGAGCAAACAGG
rnacentral:rRNA from 1 species